CGCCGGUCCGCAUUCGGGCUAGCUUGACGCCCGCCUCUUCCCGGGAUCUUUCCGCUAGGAUCUUGUUGUCCCGCGAAGCUGCUCCGCACUGGCAUUGAGGUGGAAAGAGUGGUGGCAGCCGAACACUUUCCAACCUUAGGCGCGCCGGAGCUGCGCUAGUUCUCGCCAGGUCGUUCUCAGAUUUGAUAUUCACCUCCCCUCCUGCCGGUUUCCCGAAAGAGGGGAGCGAGGUCUUAAGCCCAUGAACUGAUACAAUCAGUUGGCUGAUACAAUCUGAGCAUUUUGUCUAACAGUCCUGACGUCGAGCAAGAAAUUACAGCUAAAGGAGUCAACAGCCGGCAUUCAUAACUGCUGUGAAGCACCAGUUUUCUGUGAUUACUUUUUUCCAAUGGGAAAUCAGAAAUCGAGGCAAUAGCACAGAUCUCGUCAUAUCUAUACAGUUGGCAGCAUCAGAAAAUGAUCUAAGGAAGGCAGAGAAAAGUUAAACACAGAAGACUAUCACAAGUUAAAAGAAGAGACACAAAGAGAGAUAGAGCCAUCCAUAUACUGUAGAAGCUUUUGCAGCUAGUUCUGCCCUGUAAUUCCAGAUGUCAUAACAGGACUAUAAACAACGUCGUGACAUGAGCAAGCAAAAGCCACACAAAGUCAGUAGCCUAUCACAGGCACAUGGAUUACUUAUCAUAAUAAACACAUUAAAAUAA